rnacentral:rRNA from 1 species
AGUGAACGCUGGCGGUAGGCCUAACACAUGCAAGUCGAACGGCAGCACAGUAAGAGCUUGUUCUUACGGGUGGCGAGUGGCGGACGGGUGAGGAAUACAUCGGAAUCUACUUUUUCGUGGGGGAUAACGUAGGGAAACUUACGCUAAUACCGCAUACGACCUACGGGUGAAAGCAGGGGAUCUUCGGACCUUGCGCGAUUGAAUGAGCCGAUGUCGGAUUAGCUAGUUGGCGGGGUAAAGGCCCACCAAGGCGACGAUCCGUAGCUGGUCUGAGAGGAUGAUCAGCCACACUGGAACUGAGACACGGUCCAGACUCCUACGGGAGGCAGCAGUGGGGAAUAUUGGACAAUGGGCGCAAGCCUGAUCCAGCCAUACCGCGUGGGUGAAGAAGGCCUUCGGGUUGUAAAGCCCUUUUGUUGGGAAAGAAAAGCAGCAGGUUAAUACCCCGCUGUUCUGACGGUACCCAAAGAAUAAGCAUCGGCUAACUUCGUG